rfam:Lupinus angustifolius cultivar Tanjil chromosome LG20, whole genome shotgun sequence.
CACAGCCCGUCGCUCCUACCGAUUGAAUGAUCCGGUGAAGUGUUCAGAUUGCGGUGACGUGGGUGGUUCUCUGUCAGCGAUGUUGUGGGUCGUCCAUUGAAUAUUACCAUUUACAGGAAGGAGAAUUUGUAACAAGGUUUCCUUAGGUGAACAUGUGGAAG